AUCAGGGAAAAUACACAGACCAGUUAGAUAUGAUCUCACUAACAUUCCUAGAGAAUAUACAGUGGAAGUGAAGAACAGAUUUGAAGGACUAGAUUUAGUAAACAGAGUCCCAGAAGAACUAUGGACAGAAGUCUGCGACAUUGUUCAGGAGGCGGCAACAAAGUACGUCCCAAAGAAAAAGAAAACCAAGAAGGCAAAAUGGUUGUCUGCUGAGACACUGGAAGUAGCCCAAGAAAGGAGAAAAGCAAAAGGAAACAGGGAUAAGGGGAGAUAUGCCCAGUUAAAUGCGCAAUUCCAGAGGUUAGCCAGAAGAGAUAAGGAACUAUUUUUAAAUAAGCAAUGCAGA